rnacentral:lncRNA from 10 species
UGGAGUUAAGCGGGGACGGGAAGGAAAUGGAAGCUUUCCUGCGGUUUGCCAGUCACUCGGUUAUAUAUAUUCUCUUAUGGGAAAUGGCUCUAAACAUGGAAAGGAAGCCAAGACAUUCUUCUAUGAACUUACGGAAGACAAGAUAAAAUUCCCGCCUUGGUAUCCACAUGGAAUCCAGGAAACCUGUGCAUCUGAUGGUUUGAUACACCCUUUUGUCAUCAAUUCUUAGUUACUAUGCAUAGUCUACUGAUAAUUGUUCAUUGUGUACUUUUCGUUACUUAAAAUUCUUCAAAUCACCCUAAGACAUUUACUCCAGAGCAAUUGGCCAUGACCUGAAGAUCUACAAGCUCAUACAAACAUCUUCCUACAGCUCGUACAAAGAGUCCUGUGAGAUGCCACCAAUUGUAUCAGAUUCCCCACCUUAGGAAUCAACUCAUAUCUAUAUUAUACCAUCCGGCAGAUGGGAAGAAUUUAAUAAAUGUUUGUUAAAUAAAUGCCUCUCACUAGUUUGAGUGAAACAGAUGGGCCAAAUCAUUUAUCGUUUCUGAUUUGGUGUUGAGGAAUAAACUCAUGUAAUUUCUUUGCAAUACCCAUUGAGCCACAAGUGCAUAUUUAGCCCCUGUUUAUUACAUAGACACUUUGUAGUCUUGAUUAAAUUUACUUUAAUUCUCACAGCACAGUUCUCAAAUUGAUAGCAUUGUCACCGUUUUAAAGAUGAAUAUGUUAAGGCUUAGAAGGAAUAACUGGUUUUCCCUGCCACUUUGCCCCAGCAAAGUAAAAAACCAAAUAAGAGCUUCUACCCUUAUUUCAAAGCACUUUUCAUCAUGAAUGCAUACCCCCA